UAGGGAAUUUUGGGCAAUGGGCGAAAGCCUGACCCAGCAACGCCGCGUGUGGGAUGAAGGCCCUCGGGUCGUAAACCACUGUCAGGAGGAAAGAAAAGUCGGCCGGAUAAUACUCGGUCGACCUGACGGUACCUCCAAAGGAAGCACCGGCUAACUCCGUGCCAGCAGCCGCGGUAAUACGGAGGGUGCAAGCGUUGUUCGGAAUUACUGGGCGUAAAGCGCGUGUAGGUGGUCGAGUAAGUCGAAUGUGAAAGCCCCGGGCUCAACCCGGGAAGUGCAUCCGAAACUGCUCGACUAGAGUCCCGGAGAGGAAGGCAGAAUUCCCAAUGUAGGGGUGAAAUCCGUAGAUAUUGGGAGGAAUACCGGUGGCGAAGGCGGCCUUCUGGACGGUGACUGACACUCAGACGCGAAAGCGUGGGGAGCAAACAGGAUUAGAUACCCACGUAGUCCCUGAGCGGGCUGGCAAGGCGCAU
rnacentral:rRNA from 1 species